UGGGGAAUUUUGCACAAUGGGGGAAACCCUGAUGCAGCGACGCCGCGUGAUUUAGAAGGCCUUCGGGUUGUAAAAAUCUUUUCUAUGGGAAGAAAAUGACAGUACCAUAGGAAUAAGGACCGGCUAAUUACGUGCCAGCAGCCGCGGUAAUACGUAAGGUCCGAGCGUUGUCCGGAAUCAUUGGGCGUAAAGGGUACGUAGGCGGGUAAGCAAGUUAGAAGUGAAAUCUUAUAGCUCAACUAUAGUAAGCUUUUAAAACUGCUCAGCUUGAGGGAUGGAAGGGAAAGUGGAAUUCCUAGUGUAGCGGUAAAAUGCGCAGAUAUUAGGAGGAAUACCGGUGGCGAAGGCGACUUUCUGGCCAUAACCUGAAGCUGGAGUACGAAAGGGGUGGUAGCAAACAGG
rnacentral:rRNA from 1 species